rnacentral:rRNA from 1 species
UACGGAGGGGGCAAGCGUUGUUCGGAAUUACUGGGCGUAAAGGGCGCGUAGGCGGAUUUUUAAGUCAGUGGUGAAAUUCCGGGGCUCAACCUCGGAACUGCCAUUGAUACUAUAUAUCUUGAAUACUGUAGAGGUUAGUGGAAUUCCUAGUGUAGAGGUGAAAUUCGUAGAUAUUAGGAAGAACACCGGUUGCGAAGGCGGCUUACUGGGCCGAUAUUGACGCUGAGGCGCGAAAGCGUGGGGAGCAAACAGG